rnacentral:rRNA from 1 species
UACGGGGGGGGGCAAGCGUUGUUCGGAAUUACUGGGCGUAAAGGGUUCGUAGGUGGCCAACUAAGUCAGACGUGAAAUCCCUCAGCUUAACUGGGGAACUGCGUCUGAUACUGGUUGGCUUGAGUGCAGGAGAGGAACGCGGAAUUCCAGGUGUAGCGGUGAAAUGCGCAGAUAUCAGGAAGAGCACCCGUGGCGAAGGCGGCUCUCUGGGACGGUACUGACGCUGAGACGCGAAAGCGUGGGGAGCGAACAGG